GUGGGGAAUAUUGGACAAUGGGCGAAAGCCUGAUCCAGCCAUGCCGCGUGUGUGAAGAAGGUCUUCGGAUUGUAAAGCACUUUAAGUUGGGAGGAAGGGCAGUAAGUUAAUACCUUGCUGUUUUGACGUUACCAACAGAAUAAGCACCGGCUAACUUCGUGCCAGCAGCCGCGGUAAUACGAAGGGUGCAAGCGUUAAUCGGCAUUACUGGGCGUAAAGCGCGCGUAGGUGGUUCAGCAAGUUGAAGGUGAAAUCCCCGGGCUCAACCUGGGAACUGCCUCCAAAACAGCUGAGCUAGAGUACGGUAGAGGGUAGUGGAAUUUCCUGUGUAGCGGGGAAAUGCGUAGAUAUAGGAAGGAACACCAGUGGCGAAGACGACUACCUGGACUGAUACUGACACUGAGGUGCGAAAGCGUGGGGAGCAAACAGGAUUAGAUACCCUAGUAGUCC
rnacentral:rRNA from 1 species